GAUGAACGCUGGCGGCGUGCCUAACACAUGCAAGUCGAGCGAACGGACGAGAAGCUUGCUUCUCUGAUGUUAGCGGCGGACGGGGGAGUAACACGUGGAUAACCUACCUAUAAGACUGGGAUAACUUCGGGAAACCGGAGCUAAUACCGGAUAAUAUUUUGAACCGCAUGGUUCAAAAGUGAAAGACGGUCUUGCUGUCACUUAUAGAUGGAUCCGCGCUGCAUUAGCUAGUUGGUAAGGUAACGGCUUACCAAGGCAACGAUGCAUAGCCGACCUGAGAGGGUGAUCGGCCACACUAGAACUGAGACACGGUCCAGACUCCUACGGGAGGCAGCAGUAGGGAAUCUUCCGCAAUGGGCGGAAGCCUGACGGAGCAGCGCCGCGUGAGUGAUGAAGGUCUUCGGAUCGUAAAACUCUGUUAUUAGGGAAGAACAUAUGUGUAAGUAACUGUGCGCAUCUUGACGGUACCUAAACAGAAAGCCACGGCUAACUACGUG
rnacentral:rRNA from 1 species